rnacentral:rRNA from 1 species
ACGUAGGGUGCGAGCGUUAAUCGGAAUUACUGGGCGUAAAGCGCGUGCAGGUGGUUCGUUAAGUCAGGUGUGAAAUCCCCGGGCUCAACCUCGGAACUGCGCUUGAGACUGGUGAACUGGAGUACUGUAGAGGGGGGUAGAAUUUCAGGUGUAGCGGUGAAAUGCGUAGAGAUGUGAAGGAAUACCGAUGGCGAAGGCGGCCCCCUGGACAGAUACUGACACUC